rnacentral:rRNA from 1 species
CAGCAGCCGCGGUAAUACGAGAGGCCCGAGCGUUAGGCGGAAUCACUGGGCUUAAAGGGUGCGUAGGCGGAUCAGUAAGCAUUUUGUGAAAUCCCUCGGCUCAACCGAGGAAUUGCAGAGUGAACUGCUGGUCUUGAGGUAGGCAGAGGUCAUCGGAACGUACGGUGGAGCGGUGAAAUGCGUAGAUAUCGUACGGAACGCCGAAGGGGUAGCCAGGUGACUGGGCCUUACCUGACGCUGAGGCACGAGAGCGUGGGGAUCAAACAGGAUUAGAUACCCUGGUAGUCCACGCCGUAAACGAUGUGCACUAGUUUGGUGGAGAUCUGACUCUUUGCCAGACGCCGAGAAAUCAUUAAGUGCACCGCCUGGGGAGUACGGUCGCAAGGCUAAAACUCAAAGGAAUUGACGGGGGCUCACACAAGCGGUGGAGCAUGUUGCUUAAUUCGAAGCAACGCGAAGAACCUUACCUGGGCUUGACAUGUAUGGAUUAGCUCUUGGAAACAUGAGUGACGCCCUUUGGGUGGAACAUACACAGGUGCUGCAUGGCUGUCGUCAGCUCGUGCUGUGAAGUGUCGGGUUAAGUCCCUUAACGAGCGCAACCCUUAUCGCUAGUUGCCAGCGCGUCAUGGCGGGGACUCUAGCGAGACUGCCGGUGUCAAACCGGAGGAAGGUGGGGAUGACGUCAAGUCCUCAUGGCCCUUACGCCCAGGGUGGCAAACGUGCUACAAUGGCGUGUACAAAGCGAUGCAAUAUCGUGAGAUGGAGCAAAUCGCAAAAAGCACGCCCCAGUUCGGAUUGGAGUCUGAAACUCGACUCCAUGAAGCCGGAAUCGCUAGUAAUCGGAGAUCAGCCACGCUCCGGUGAAUACGUUCCUGAGCCUUGCACACACCGCCCGU